GACGGAGGAUGCAAGCGUUAUCCGGAAUGAUUGGGCGUAAAGCGUCCGCAGGUGGCAGUUCAAGUCUGCUGUCAAAGACCGGGGCUUAACUUCGGAAAGGCAGUGGAAACUGAACAGCUAGAGUAUGGUAGGGGCAGAGGGAAUUCCUGGCGUAGCGGUGAAAUGCGUAGAUAUCAGGAAGAACAUCGGUGGCGAAGGCGCUCUGCUGGACCAUAACUGACACUCAGGGACGAAAGCUAGGGGAGCGAAUGGG
rnacentral:rRNA from 1 species